rnacentral:lncRNA from 1 species
AUAUUUAGUAUUAAGCUACUUGCAGUAGUCUUGUAGAGUAAUAUUUGCCUGUGUGUCAAAUUUUUCAUUGCAUUUGGCUCAUAAAAUCCUCAUGUCUCUUUAUGGCCACCAGAGCCAGAGGAGGUGGGAGAUCUAUUUCAACAGUUGGCUGUACCUGCAGAGACAGAAACCAAGAGGACAGAAGAGUUCGCUGGAGCUACAGCCAGCAGGUCCUAAAGUGAAUGAAGAUUCCUGUUUGGUGAUUCACAAUGCCAAAUUGCAACUAUCUCAGGGUAAGCAACUGUUUUUUGAAGCAUAUUCUGGUUGUUAUCAAAAUUAAUUUCUUUGCUUCUUGUCUUAGUCUGAAUUUGGUGAGAUCUUUCUUUAUUCAUCAUGUUGAUCAAAGUGUGAAGAAAGGGUGAGAGACAGAAAGAGAACAAUAGGAAGUCCAGUAUCAUCAUUUUUUAUGUAACCCAUUAUUAUGGUAAUAAACUUUAAUUCAUUCUUAAGGGCA